CGGCCAUGGCCGUGCUGAAGAACAGCAACCUCGUGCUGGCGGCGCUGAUCAUGCUGCUCAUGGCGUCGUCGAUGGUGCUCGGCUCGGCCGCGGCGCGGCCCCUGCUAGUAGGCGAGGAACUGGCCGGAGAGGCCGCCGCCGUCGGCGGCGGCGGCGACUCCAUCGUCAGGUUCAUCCGGCAGCUAUACUGGCAGCGGCUAAGCGGGCCAGGCCCCUCGUGCAAGGGCUCGACCUGGGACCCAAACAAUGGAUGCCCACCGCCGCCGUGAUGAAUUGCAGUCUCGCAGAAGCUAGCGCGCGCAUGGCAACCCAGCCAUCGUCGAGCUGUUUUAGUAGCCUGUUUUAACGUGUAGUUAUAUGUGCGAUGUUCUUUUAUUUGUUUUUGGAAGAGGUCAGGGACUAUACUUCCCAUGUUAACUCCCUCACACAACAUUAGAAGAAUGCAUGGUUAUUGCAUACGGGGAGAGUUGUUACAUGUAUUUUUUUUCCGCUCCUUGGCAUGUCUGCUAGAUUCAUGCACCUGAGGAAUUUGAAAUAAUAUACUCCAUUGAACACAAAAUAUGUAUAUCUUGUGUUAAACCUUUUUUUUAUAAGCUUUGAGAUA
rnacentral:misc_RNA from 1 species